ACGGCCAUACCAUGCUGAAAGCACCGGUUCUCAUCUGAUCACCGCAGUCAAGCAGCAUUGGGUGCAGUCAGUAGGUACUUGGGAGGGUGACAUCCUGGGAACACUGCAUGCUGU